rnacentral:rRNA from 1 species
UGUCUUUUUGAAGAUAAUUUAAAGUCUAAUCUGCCCACUGAUUUAAUAUUAAAGGGCUGCAGUAUAUUGACUGUACAAAGGUAGCAUAAUCAUUAGUCAUUUAAUUGAUGACUUGUAUGAAAGAUUGGAUGAGAUAUAAUCUGUCUCUUAAUUAUUUAUAAAAUUUAAUUUUUUAAUUAAAAAGUUAAAAUAAUUUAAAAAGACGAGAAGACCCUAUAGAGUUUUAUAUGUGAGUUUAUUAAGAUUAUUUAUAAAAAAAAAAAAUUAAAAUUAACUUAUAUAUUUUAUUGGGGUGAUAGAAAAAUAUACAAAACUUUUUUUAUAUAAAAACAUUUAUAAGUGAUUAAAUGAUCCAAUAAUAUUGAUUAAAAGAAAAAAUUACCUUAGGGAUAACAGCGUAAUUUUUUUUUUUAGUUCAUAUAA